GUGCUUACUUCAGCAGUACAUAUACAGCAAUUGGAAUACAGAGAAGAUUAGCAUGGUUCCUAUGCAUGGACUACAUGCAAAUUCAUAAAAUGCUUCAAAUUUUG
ensembl:snRNA U6 U6 spliceosomal RNA